rnacentral:rRNA from 1 species
CGGGGAAUAUUGGGCAAUGGGCGCAAGCCUGACCCAGCAACGCCGCGUGAGGGAAGAAGGUCUUCGGAUUGUAAACCUCUGUCCUUGGGGACGAAAGAAAUGACGGUACCCAAGGAGGAAGCUCCGGCUAACUACGUGCCAGCAGCCGCGGUAAUACGUAGGGAGCGAGCGUUGACCGGAAUUACUGGGCGUAAAGGGUGCGUAGGUGGCGCUGCAAGUCAGAUGUGAAAUCCCCGGGCUUAACUCGGGGGGUGCAUUUGAAACUGCGGUGCUUGAGUGCAGGAGAGGAAAGCGGAAUUCCUAGUGUAGCGGUGAAAUGCGUAGAUAUUAGGAAGAACACCAGUGGCGAAGGCGGCUUUCUGGACUGUAACUGACGCUGAUGCACGAAAGCGUGGGGAGCAAACAG